rnacentral:rRNA from 1 species
GCCCAGACUCCUACGGGAGGCAGCAGUGAGGAAUAUUGGUCAAUGGGCGCGAGCCUGAACCAGCCAGGUCGCGUGAGGGAAGACGGUCCUAUGGAUUGUAAACCUCUUUUGUCGGGGAGCAAAAGACGCCACGCGUGGCGUUCCGAGAGUACCCGAAGAAAAAGCAUCGGCUAACUCCGUGCCAGCAGCCGCGGUAAUACGGAGGAUGCGAGCGUUAUCCGGAUUUAUUGGGUUUAAAGGGUGCGUAGGCGGAAUAUCAAGUCAGCGGUAAAAAUUCGGGGCUCAACCCCGUCGUGCCGUUGAAACUGAUGUUCUUGAGUGCGCGGAAGGCAGGCGGAAUUCGUGGUGUAGCGGUGAAAUGCUUAGAUAUCACGAAGAACCCCGAUUGCGAAGGCAGCCUGCCGCAGCGUUACUGACGCUGAAGCUCGAAAGCGCGGGUAUCGAACAGGAUUAGAUACCCCCGUAAC